GCCUGGGUGGCUGAGUCACUUAAGCAUCUGACUUCGGCUCAGGUCAUGAUUUCACGGUUGUGGGUUCGAGCCCUGCGUCGGGCU
rnacentral:tRNA from 1 species